UUAAGCGACUAAGCGUACACGGUGGAUGCCCUGGCAGUCAGAGGCGAUGAAGGACGUGCUAAUCUGCGAUAAGCGUCGGUAAGGUGAUAUGAACCGUUAUAACCGGCGAUUUCCGAAUGGGGAAACCCAGUGUGAUUCGUCACACUAUCAUUAACUGAAUCCAUAGGUUAAUGAGGCGAACCGGGGGAACUGAAACAUCUAAGUACCCCGAGGAAAAGAAAUCAACCGAGAUUCCCCCAGUAGCGGCGAGCGAACGGGGAGCAGCCCAGAGCCUGAAUCAGUGUGUGUGUUAGUGGAAGCGUCUGGAAAGGCGCGCGAUACAGGGUGACAGCCCCGUACACAAAAAUGCACAUACUGUGAGCUCGAUGAGUAGGGCGGGACACGUGGUAUCCUGUCUGAAUAUGGGGGGACCAUCCUCCAAGGCUAAAUACUCCUGACUGACCGAUAGUGAACCAGUACCGUGAGGGAAAGGCGAAAAGAACCCCGGCGAGGGGAGUGAAAAAGAACCUGAAACCGUGUACGUACAAGCAGUGGGAGCACAGAGCAAUCUGUGUGACUGCGUACCUUUUGUAUAAUGGGUCAGCGACUUAUAUUCUGUAGCAAGGUUAACCGAAUAGGGGAGCCGAAGGGAAACCGAGUCUUAACUGGGCGUUAAGUUGCAGGGUAUAGACCCGAAACCCGGUGAUCUAGCCAUGGGCAGGUUGAAGGUUGGGUAACACUAACUGGAGGACCGAACCGACUAAUGUUGAAAAAUUAGCGGAUGACUUGUGGCUGGGGGUGAAAGGCCAAUCAAACCGGGAGAUAGCUGGUUCUCCCCGAAAGCUAUUUAGGUAGCGCCUCGUGAAUUCAUCUCCGGGGGUAGAGCACUGUUUCGGCAAGGGGGUCAUCCCGACUUACCAACCCGAUGCAAACUGCGAAUACCGGAGAAUGUUAUCACGGGAGACACACGGCGGGUGCUAACGUCCGUCGUGAAGAGGGAAACAACCCAGACCGCCAGCUAAGGUCCCAAAGUCAUGGUUAAGUGGGAAACGAUGUGGGAAGGCCCAGACAGCCAGGAUGUUGGCUUAGAAGCAGCCAUCAUUUAAAGAAAGCGUAAUAGCUCACUGGUCGAGUCGGCCUGCGCGGAAGAUGUAACGGGGCUAAACCAUGCACCGAAGCUGCGGCAGCGACGCUUAUGCGUUGUUGGGUAGGGGAGCGUUCUGUAAGCCUGCGAAGGUGUGCUGUGAGGCAUGCUGGAGGUAUCAGAAGUGCGAAUGCUGACAUAAGUAACGAUAAAGCGGGUGAAAAGCCCGCUCGCCGGAAGACCAAGGGUUCCUGUCCAACGUUAAUCGGGGCAGGGUGAGUCGACCCCUAAGGCGAGGCCGAAAGGCGUAGUCGAUGGGAAACAGGUUAAUAUUCCUGUACUUGGUGUUACUGCGAAGGGGGGACGGAGAAGGCUAUGUUGGCCGGGCGACGGUUGUCCCGGUUUAAGCGUGUAGGCUGGUUUUCCAGGCAAAUCCGGAAAAUCAAGGCUGAGGCGUGAUGACGAGGCACUACGGUGCUGAAGCAACAAAUGCCCUGCUUCCAGGAAAAGCCUCUAAGCAUCAGGUAACAUCAAAUCGUACCCCAAACCGACACAGGUGGUCAGGUAGAGAAUACCAAGGCGCUUGAGAGAACUCGGGUGAAGGAACUAGGCAAAAUGGUGCCGUAACUUCGGGAGAAGGCACGCUGAUAUGUAGGUGAAGUCCCUCGCGGAUGGAGCUGAAAUCAGUCGAAGAUACCAGCUGGCUGCAACUGUUUAUUAAAAACACAGCACUGUGCAAACACGAAAGUGGACGUAUACGGUGUGACGCCUGCCCGGUGCCGGAAGGUUAAUUGAUGGGGUCAGCGCAAGCGAAGCUCUUGAUCGAAGCCCCGGUAAACGGCGGCCGUAACUAUAACGGUCCUAAGGUAGCGAAAUUCCUUGUCGGGUAAGUUCCGACCUGCACGAAUGGCGUAAUGAUGGCCAGGCUGUCUCCACCCGAGACUCAGUGAAAUUGAACUCGCUGUGAAGAUGCAGUGUACCCGCGGCAAGACGGAAAGACCCCGUGAACCUUUACUAUAGCUUGACACUGAACAUUGAGCCUUGAUGUGUAGGAUAGGUGGGAGGCUUUGAAGUGUGGACGCCAGUCUGCAUGGAGCCGACCUUGAAAUACCACCCUUUAAUGUUUGAUGUUCUAACGUUGACCCGUGAUCCGGGUUGCGGACAGUGUCUGGUGGGUAGUUUGACUGGGGCGGUCUCCUCCUAAAGAGUAACGGAGGAGCACGAAGGUUGGCUAAUCCUGGUCGGACAUCAGGAGGUUAGUGCAAUGGCAUAAGCCAGCUUGACUGCGAGCGUGACGGCGCGAGCAGGUGCGAAAGCAGGUCAUAGUGAUCCGGUGGUUCUGAAUGGAAGGGCCAUCGCUCAACGGAUAAAAGGUACUCCGGGGAUAACAGGCUGAUACCGCCCAAGAGUUCAUAUCGACGGCGGUGUUUGGCACCUCGAUGUCGGCUCAUCACAUCCUGGGGCUGAAGUAGGUCCCAAGGGUAUGGCUGUUCGCCAUUUAAAGUGGUACGCGAGCUGGGUUUAGAACGUCGUGAGACAGUUCGGUCCCUAUCUGCCGUGGGCGCUGGAGAACUGAGGGGGGCUGCUCCUAGUACGAGAGGACCGGAGUGGACGCAUCACUGGUGUUCGGGUUGUCAUGCCAAUGGCACUGCCCGGUAGCUAAAUGCGGAAGAGAUAAGUGCUGAAAGCAUCUAAGCACGAAACUUGCCCCGAGAUGAGUUCUCCCUGACUCCUUGAGAGUCCUGAAGGAACGUUGAAGACGACGACGUUGAUAGGCCGGGUGUGUAAGCGCAGCGAUGCGUUGAGCUAACCGGUACUAAUGAACCGUGAGGCUUAACCU
rnacentral:rRNA from 1 species